ACGACAUUGGAGCGCCCCUAGCGCCCCGAUUGUGACGCGACAGCGGCGCGGUCUCCCUGGUCUCGCGUGACCUGGGGCGCCGCCACAGCCUCCCAACAGCCCCAACGGCAGAGGCCCGCGGCCGAGGUCAAGAUGGUGGCUCCGCGGGCAGGGGAGGCGGUGGAGGGAGGAGGAGCCAGGCCUUAGCCAGCCGAGAACACCGACACCCAGAGGCCUCCCGGGAGCCGCCGCCGCCUGCUCCUGCUCGAGAGACGCGAGCGGGCGGCGGGCGGGUCGUGAGAGACCGGGGAGGAGGGGGCGGAGCCGCCGCCUCAGCGCCCGCCCCUGGCCGCCGUCCCGGGCCUGCCCGGCCCUCCCAGCCCCGGUGCGGCAGCGGCUCAUGGCAGCGGUGGGGCCCCCGCAGCAGCAGGUGCGGAUGGCCCAUCAGCAGGCUUGGGCAGCGCUCGAAGUGGCGCUCCGGGUGCCCUGCCUCUACAUCAUCGACGCCAUCUUCAACUCUUACUACGAUUCCAGCCAAAGCCGGUUCUGCAUCGGGCUCCAGAUCGUCCUCCGGCUCCUCGGUAUAUUUGUUUCCAGUAUUGUUCUGAUAUUGUCACAGCGAUCACUUUUCAAGUUUUACAUGUACAGCGCAGCCUUUCUUUUAGCUGCAACUUCAGUGUUGGUAAAUUAUUAUGCUGCUUUGCACAUUGACUUGUAUGGUGCCUACAACACAUCAGCUUUUGGAAUUGAACUCCUCCCUCGGAAAGGGCCCUCACAAUGGAUGGCACUCAUUGUUCUACAGCUGACAUUUGGAAUUGGAUACAUUACACUACUCCAGAUUCAUUCCAUCUAUUCACAAUUAAUUAUUUUGGAUCUGUUGGUACCUGUAAUAGGCUUAAUCACAGAGCUGCCAUUACACAUCCGGGAGACUUUAGUUUUUACCUCUUCCUUGAUUCUUAUAUUAAACACACUGUUCGUCUUGGCAGUGAAACUUAGGUGGUUUUAUUAUUCCACACGGUAUGUUUAUCUCUUAGUGAGGCACAUGUAUCGAAUUUAUGGAUUACAGUUAUUAAUGGAGGACACAUGGAAGAGGAUUCGUUUCCCAGAUAUACUGAGAGUCUUUUGGCUAACAAGAAUUACAGCUCAGGCUACAGUGUUAAUGUACAUUUUAAGGAUGGCAAAUGAAACUGAUUCCUUCUUUAUUUCUUGGGAUGACUUCUGGGACCUCAUUUGCAAUCUUAUAAUUAGUGGAUGUGAUUCUACACUAACUGUGCUGGGCAUGAGUGCUGUAAUUUCUUCAAUAGCCCAUUAUUUGGGCCUUGGAAUAUUGGCCUUUAUUGGAUCAACUGAAGACGACGACAGGAGACUUGGCUUUGUAGCACCUGUUUUGUUUUUUAUUUUGGCUCUUCAGACUGGUUUAAGUGGGCUAAGACCAGAAGAGAGACUUAUUCGCCUAAGUAGAAACAUGUGCCUUUUAUUAACUGCAGUCCUGCAUUUCAUCCAUGGAAUGACAGACCCCGUAUUAAUGUCUCUCAGUGCCUCUCACGUGUCAUCUUUUCGUAGACAUUUUCCUGUGCUCUUUGUCUCUGCUUGCCUGUUUAUUCUUCCUGUUUUACUCAGUUAUGUUCUUUGGCAUCACUAUGCACUAAACACAUGGCUGUUUGCCGUUACAGCCUUCUGUGUGGAACUCUGCUUAAAAGUAAUUGUUUCUCUCACUGUUUAUACGUUAUUCAUGAUUGAUGGCUACUAUAAUGUCCUCUGGGAAAAGCUUGAUGAUUAUGUCUACUAUGUUCGUUCAACAGGCAAUAUUAUUGAAUUUAUAUUUGGAGUAGUAAUGUUUGGAAAUGGGGCCUAUACUAUGAUGUUUGAGUCAGGAAGUAAAAUUCGGGCUUGUAUGAUGUGUCUACAUGCGUAUUUUAACAUCUACUUACAAGCAAAAAAUGGCUGGAAGACAUUCAUGAAUCGUAGGACUGCUGUUAAGAAAAUUAAUUCACUUCCUGAAAUAAAAGGGGACCGUUUACAAGAAAUAGAUGAUGUCUGUGCAAUCUGCUAUCAUGAGUUUACUACAUCUGCUCGUCUCACACCAUGUAAUCAUUAUUUCCAUGCACUUUGCCUUCGGAAAUGGCUGUACAUUCAAGAUACUUGUCCAAUGUGUCAUCAAAAAGUAUACAUUGAAGAUGAUAUCAAGGAUAAUUCAAAUAUACCUAACAACAGCGGAUUUAUUGCACCUAAUGAAAAUGCAGAGGAAGCUGUAAGAGAGGCUGCUGCCGCCGAAUCUGACAGGGACUUGAAUGAAGAUGACAGUACAGAUUUUGAUGAUGAUGUUCAAACAGAAAGAAAUGGAGUGAUUCAGAAUACAGGUACAGCAGCUGAAGAAUUUAAUGAGGACACUGACUGAUUAAACAGCAUUUACUAAUCAUUGAGGUUAUUUGUUCAAAAUUCAGUUCAUCCAAAAUGGAGUUAAUAUGCUUCACUUCAUUGUGUAACCAAGCACAGAAACAGUCAAUGUUGAAUCUGUGAAUGGUUUUCCGUUUACUGUGAUGUGCUACUGUAAAUAUACCUCUUUAAUUACUUCUGGUCUCUUUGGUGACCUAUUUAAAUUUGUGUACAUUAUUGUACAUAGAAUAAAAUGUUUUCACGUUUUUAUGACAAAAUUUGAACAAAUAGCUUUUUAAUAGAUGUAACAAUAAUACGGUGCGCCAACUGUGCCAAAGAUUCCUAAAUGAAAGUGUAUAAUGCAUCUAAUUCUGGCCCCCUAGUGUUUCUUUAAGAUAGGCGGGAGAAUGAAAGUGCAAAAUCAGAGGAAACCACAUUAAAUCAAGGAAAUAAAAUAAUGUGGACCAGAGGAUAAGAGAUAUUUUAUGAACUAAGGAAAUAGUAGGCUGCCAGAACUGAUUGAGACUUUUUUGAAAUUUGAGAGUAGCACUGUAGUUGAGCUGAGUUCAAAAGUCAAGAUUUGGAUAUUGUGAGUUGAGAAAUAUAUCAGGUAUGUAUAUAUCUGGUAUGAACCAGAAUAUGUUUAAUUUUGAUGUAAAAAUUAGUAUAUUUGUUAGUCAUUCUGUGUUUGCAGCAUUGACAUAAUAUUGUCCUUUUAGACUUUUGAAGAGGUUACAAAAUUAAUACUUGGUGACCUCCAUUCUUUUAAGUGACAUUAAAAAAUAUCCCUGGCUUUAUGGAUAAAAAUAAGGGAGAUGGUUGUGCAGUGAUGCAUAAUAUCUCUUUAGACAAGUUCCAGAGAAUUCCUUUAUUGAAACUAAGUUUUACCAUGAAAUUUCAUACAUGAUGGAAAACACAUAGCAAUUACAUAUCAGGAAAAAAUACUUUAAUGGUAUUGUUAUAUAGCUCAUUGGCUAAUUCCAGUGGAUCCUCAUCUCUUACUGCUGCCAUUAUCUCCAGUAUUUGACUAAAACAAAACAAAAAUAGAUGGUUUAAAUUUCCAAGUACAUAUUCAUGUUUUAAAUUUAUCUUUUUCCACAUAAAGGAUGAUACUAGCACUUUUAAUAAGCUUAAACGGGUAUUCAAGUUUUCAGCACUAUCAGAAAGUUUAACUGCUAGGAUAUUUAAAAUAAGAGUAGAGAUUUUUGUAGUAGUUCUGUAUAUAACUAGAGCCAAAAAUCUAGUUUUAAAUAAAUUAUAAAGGUGGCCUAUAUUAUGUGUACCUUAAUUAGGGAAUUAACCUGGUAGAAAUGAGUCCUUUUAAACUGUAGGUCACAGUAAGCUUUUAAAAAAUUGCAAUUUACAAAAGUACAAUACAUGUAGACAAGUACUAUUUCAUUUAUGUAUGUACAUGUGUAAUGCAUCAAUGUAAGCUGUAGCCAUUGGGACAGCCAUCAAAGUUUGAAAACCACUGCUUAGAAAACUAAUACUAAAGAAUAGCAAAAAAAAUUGUGGCAUGAUCACUAGCACAAUGAAAGCAAAGGAAGUUAUAAGUUAUUUACUCAGAAUAAUGUGUUUGGGUAGCCAUAGAAAGAAUAGCCCAGCUGCUGUUCUUUCAGUUUCUCUACAAUUAUCAGUAAUGUUUUCUAGCAUUCUUAUAUAUUGAUAGAAUAUUUUUAUACGUGAAUUAUAAAGUUUUAAAGUAAAAUUUAAACAUUUAAAUAGUCUUUGUCUUAAGCUUUUUGUUCCUCUUUUAUCAGUUUCUUAAAUAUAAAACACCUAAUAGUAUUAGGGAUGGAGAUUAAAGAUUAAUUGGAACUUUUUUAUUCUGUAAAAGUAGCAUAAAAUGCUUGCUUAAUUUGUAUACUAAAUAACUAUACUAAAAUUUUGUUCUGUAUCUGACAGUCAAAAAUAUACUGAAAGUAAAUCUGUUAAUAUUUAAAUUGACAUUACAAAUCCAAUUUUUUUUUUUUAUAAACUGCAGAAUUUUCCUCUAUUAAACUAUUUGGAAUAGGAACUUGCAUAAUACUGUGCAGAACAGAUUCUUGAUAUCCUUCCCCCUUCCAGUCCUUUCUCCACCCUGAUACUUUACAGCUUAAGAAAAAAGCUGCUAUUUUUCCAUUUAAAAUACUUUCGGUCCCGAUAAAAUCUAGACUAAAAUUGGCAUAGAAGAGUCCUCACAAUCUGGCCUCACUCUACCUUCCCAGACUGAUCAUUUACUCGUGCAUCCUACUUUCUGCCACACUAACUCACUGUUCCCCUGGAGCAGCUAAGUCCUCUUACAUUCUGCCUCUGCUCAGUGUGUUUCUCUUAGUCUGGCAUAUUUCCCAGCUAGUAAACAGUGGAAAUGUCACCUUAGUUCUCUUAUUUCCCCUUAAGGCAGGCAGUUGCUAUGUCCUAUGGUCCCAGUCACAUAGUCAUACCUCUUUACCACCACUACCAUCUAGAAUUAAACUUUUUAUGUGCUUGUUUGUUCCAGAGGGAAGGAAUCCUCAUCUGACUUGAUUAGUGCCUUAUCCAAAGUGCCUGGCACAAGGUAUCUACGCACUGGUGGAUAGAUGAGGGAAGGGACUGCCCGCAUUCUUCUGCAUAGCCUCAGUAAAAUGGCAUAGGGCAAGACCUCCAAAAUGUUUCAAGGAAUUUAUUUAGAAGGGAGGUCUCUAUACAAAUAAAACAAAGAACUGUUAAUAGAUGAAAUUUGAUUAAAAUGACUCUGUAAGUAGAAAUUUUAACUUACUAAUUAGUAAUUAUACUGUGGCAUGUGUUUCUGAAGUGUGGCUUAAGUUUUUCAGUUUGCAAAUGUUGAUUUCCCAAGCUCUGCAUAUUCAGAACUGGUAUUCAUGACUGUAGUUGUUAAUUAAGCACUUUCAGUUCUUAACUGUCUGCAUUUAGAAACAGGUUACGAUUUUGUCUUAUAAAGUCAACAGGUACACUUAGCAGUAGGUAGUAUAGGAAAUGGAGUAUAGAUUGCAUUUUUAUAACCAUCAACAGGAAGCUUCAUGAGAACAGAACUUAAACCAGGUAAGGUGUGUUGUAUUCUGACUGAAUCUGCAAGAAUGUACAAUUCAGGAAAAUUACAAGUGAUUCCUAACUAAACAGAAUUUAUAUAUAUUCCUCACCCAGGGGUUUUUAAACAGUUAAUUUCUGAAGUCUUUGCCAACACUAGCACAUUUAAUAAAGAAAAAAAUCUUUCCAAUAUGUUUUGAUAGAAUAAUUCACUUUUCUGAAUUUAGCUCUGGCUUACUUAAAACUCUUAUCUGUUAAAAACUACUUGG